CCUGAGAAACCUAAAAGAUCGAAUGGGGAGAUUCAUCGUCAAUAUGUUUAAUAUUAAUAUAUUAUAUGAUAUAUUAAUUUUUUUAAUUUUUCGAAAUUAUAAAAUUUUUUUAUACAUAUAUAUAUUAUUUUAUUGUUAUACAUUGUCGGCGUGCACUUCUCCCCUAGUAGGACAUCGCGACCCGUUAAAUGUCGAUUUAUGACCAAAUUGAAUAGUUUUUAAUUAUUUAAUUAUAAUUAAAAAUCAAUUUGUGAUUUCUAAUCGAGUAUUUGACGGUAAACGUAUGGUAUUAAGUCGCUCAUAUUUGCGUUCUUUACCCGUCGCAAGCGAGGUUUUAUUUAUUAGUUACGGACUUUGUGCUGUCUAAUAAAUAUUUAAUCAGCUGUUAGCUGUUUACGGUGUUCUAGAACUGACUUAUUUAUACCUGUCGGCGAUGCUAUUGCUUUGGGUACUUUCAGG
rnacentral:rRNA from 1 species